UAAACGAUGUCGACUUGGAGGUUGUGCCCUGAGGCGUGGCUUCCGGAGCUAACGCGUUAAGUCGACCGCUGGGGAGUACGGCCGCAAGGUUAAAACUCAAAUGAAUUGACGGGGGCCCGCACAAGCGGUGGAGCAUGUGGUUUAAUUCGAUGCAACGCGAAGAACCUUACCUACUCUUGACAUCCAGAGAACUUAGCAGAGAUGCUUUGGUGCCUUCGGGAACUCUGAGACAGGUGCUGCAUGGCUGUCGUCAGCUCGUGUUGUGAAAUGUUGGGUUAAGUCCCGCAACGAGCGCAACCCUUAUCCUUUGUUGCCAGCGGUCCGGCCGGGAACUCAAAGGAGACUGCCAGUGAUAAACUGGAGGAAGGUGGGGAUGACGUCAGGUCAUCAUGGCCCUUACGAGUAGGGCUACACACGUGCUACAAUGGCGCAUACAAAGAGAAGCGACCUCGCGAGAGCAAGCGGACCUCAUAAAGUGCGUCGUAGUCCGGAUUGGAGUCUGCAACUCGACUCCAUGAAGUCGGAAUCGCUAGUAAUCGUAGAUCAGAAUGCUACGGUGAAUACGUUCCCGGGCCUUGUACACACCGCCCGUCACACCAUGGGAGUGGGUUGCAAAAGAAGUAGGUAGCUUAACCUUCGGGAGGGCGCUUACCACUUUGUGAUUCAUGACUGGGGUGAAGUCGUAACAAGGUAACCA
rnacentral:rRNA from 1 species